GGAUGAGUGGCAGAGUGGACGAUUGCGGCGGUCUUGAAAACCGUUGAACCGAGAGGUUCCGGGGGUUCGAAUCCCUCCUCAUCCGCCA
rnacentral:tRNA from 2 species